rnacentral:rRNA from 1 species
GUGGGCACUCUAGAAUGACUGCCGGUGACAAACCGGAGGAAGGCGGGGAUGACGUCAAAUCAUCAUGCCCCUUAUGACUUGGGCUACACACGUACUACAAUGGCUGGUACAACGGGAAGCGAAGCCGCGAGGUGGAGCCAAUCCUAUAAAAGCCAGUCUCAGUUCGGAUUGCAGGCUGCAACUCGCCUGCAUGAAGUCGGAAUUGCUAGUAAUCGCGGAUCAGCAUGCCGCGGUGAAUACGUUCCCGGGUCUUGUACACACCGCCCGUCACACCACGAGAGUUUACAACACCCGAAGUCGGUGGGGUAACCCGCAAGGGAGCCAGCCGCCGAAGGU